rnacentral:rRNA from 1 species
GUGGAUUAGAUACCCUGGUAGUCCACGCCCUAAACGAUGCGAACUGGAUGUUGGUCUCAAUUCGGAGAUCAGUGUCGAAGCUAACGCGUUAAGUUCGCCGCCUGGGGAGUACGGUCGCAAGACUGAAACUCAAAGGAAUUGACGGGGGCCCGCACAAGCGGUGGAGUAUGUGGUUUAAUUCGAUGCAACGCGAAGAACCUUACCUGGCCUUGACAUGUCUGGAAUCCUGUAGAGAUACGGGAGUGCCUUCGGGAAUCAGAACACAGGUGCUGCACGGCCGUCGACAGCU